UUAUUUCCCAAGCGCCUGAAACCCUAACCCGCGGCAUAGCCAUGUCGACCAAGCUCUCGAUUCACGGGCUGGAGGUGCAGCACCAGAUGCACCGUCGACGAGGCCCACACGAUCCUCCCUCUCCCCCCUACGUCGUCCGCCUCCUCCCUACCUUCCCCUACACCGCCUCCCUCCGCCCUUGAAUCCGAUUCAAAUCCGUCCUCACGGGGGAGAUCAGAUCCGAUCCAGUCCAGGGCGCCGCCAUCAUGCACCACCACCACCAGUUAGACCAGUGGCUCGUCGGCAACGUGGGCGGGGUGUUGUGCUCGAGCAAAUCCGCCCCCUGCCUCCCCGUGCCCUACCGCUCGCUCUGACUCAACCUCGUCGUCUCCUAGUACUUGCGCCGCCGCCUCCAGGACCAUGUCUUCGUGCUCGAGCAGGACCUCCACGCUGCUGCCCGUCACAUUGACCUCCUCAGGCUGCCGACCUCUUCCUAUGGUCUGAGCCGGUGCCCGGAGCUGGCAAAUGUGGCGCCACACCGCAGGCCGAUGGGCCCUGCCCUAUCAUCUUCAUCACCUACCGCGAUGACUUUCGCAAGGUCAUGGACUACUUCCAUGGCCACUAUGCCGCCAGCUAGCGCAGGCCCCACGCCCUCCGUCUCACGGUCGACGGAUAAGUGCUAAGACUUGCAUAUUACAUUGAGAGGCUUCGUUCUUGCUUAGUUUUUUGUCGGUAGUAUACAGUGUGCAUGUGCAAAAUCUAGGUAGCUUGUCUUGCACAGGACCAACCUAAUUGAACUACACAUGUCAGUGUAGAUGCUACGGUUGUCUCUUGGGUUCGAAAACUUAAAAUUCCACUCCGGUUUAUCUAUGUUUUACUCAUGGAUUUGACCUGAACCUGCAUUACACAUGAGUUGAUACAAUCAUAUAGCUUAUCUGAUCAAACAAUUUGUUAAUGCUAUCUUUACCUACUGCUCUUAUACCUUACCAAAACAAUAAUAAUUCUAACUAGAAGUAGUUCUUUUUAUUUAAAUUAUGUAUUUAUUACUGUUGACAUAUUGUCGUGAUGUACAUUUUGUACUGAAUAGCUCUUUCUGAUAUUCACAGGUUUUAGCGAUCACAUGUAGCUCUUUCGUCAAAGUUGCAUGGUGUAUGGUGCAAUAGAGGACAAGCGCUUCAUGUCCAACAAAGGUGCAUGGUGCUUGCAAUUGACGAACAUAGGUUGUUCUACAUCGGCUACAUAAACCACCACUGAGCUCUAGGUCUACGAAAUUUGAAGUUCGAAGCCGUAUAGCCCUAAUCAGCAAAGAGUUGUCUCUUUUGUUUCACGGUAAUAGACUGUAAAUAUUGUAAUAUUGUAAUAGUUGGCAUAUUUGGGUUGUAAUAGACUAUGUGUAUAGAUUGUAGUAGACUUGUAAUGUGAAGACAAACUCGCAACUCACGGUCUCGAGACUUGUAAUGUUCUAA